CUCACUACCUGUUUGAUCUCUCAAUGACCCUAUCGAUUCCUUUCUCUCAAAUGGAGACAGAUUUGAUGAGUUCUCAUUGGGACAGUGACGAUGAGUACGAAAAAUUCAUUCAGAGAAUGAACCCACCAAGGUUUGCAUCUUUUGGUUUUUUUGGUCUAUUCUUUUAUUCAUUUACUUUCAAUCUUCUAAUUUCUUUAAUUUGUUCCAUGUUAGGGUUGUAAUUGAUAAUGAAUCAUGUGCUAAUGCAACAGUUGUUAGAGUAAGUUAUCAGGUUGAUUGUUGCUCGCAUGGGGCCGAAAAACUGGAUUUAAGUUAAAAUGUUGAGCAAAUUGAUCCAGUAACUCUUAAGCAACUCCUAAGGGGUUGCCUAUUGAUUCCAUCAUGUAUUCUAUGAUCAAGCUUAUUUAUAUUUGCAGUUGCUAUUUCUUCAAACAUCUACCUGUUACUCUAUGCUUCUAUCUUUCAAGUUGAAACAUAUUUAGCUGAUAAGGAAGAGGUUUAAAUCUGGAGCCUCUAAACUUUUCAUUGUGCACUUUCAACUCGGCAAGGCUACUUGAAAGGCAUAGUCGAACAAGCUUCUAAUAGAAAAUAUUGGGACAUAUGGAACCAACAGAAGUUGAAUCCUGAAAUUGAAGCGAAACGCCAGAAUAUUUUAAAUGCAAAUCAGAAUUUGACAAAUCAGAUCAUUGAACUGGAGAGACAUUUCCACACUCUUGAGAUAAAUAGAUUUGGUGGAAGUGGUAGAACUUCAUUAGGUCAUACAACUUUCCAGAGUGGUUCUCUGCGUGUAAGGCAAAAAACAAUCUUUGCAGAGUGUCUAUAACACACUAAACUCACAAUUAGCAGCAGUCGAGCAUCUUUCUGAAUGCAUAUCUCAACAGAUGUCUGAGUUAAACUUAAACUCAGUUCCUGUAAAGCGGCAGAGCAUAACAAAAGAGCUUUUUGAGUCGAUUGGUCUUUCUGAUGAAAACAUGUCAUUUGAAUCACCAGUUUGCAAAAGAUCCAGCCUUACUCUGUAUUCUACGAGAACACCUCUAUCCGUGACCGGUGCUAUUAGGGACCAUCUGAGUAAAAAGACAUUAAGUGUAGCAAAGGCUUUUGAGCCAGAAACUGCAAGGAGGAGAAGGGACUCACUAGAUAAAGUAAUAUUUUCUCCUUAAGUUUAUUCUACAAUUUAAGUUUUCAUAGUGCAUAACAUAUUUUGAUCUCUAUAUGUGUUACUUGUGUUCCAUUCAUAGUAUUGUAAGUAGUUUCUUUUUGCUUCUAUUUGUUACAGUUCAAUACAUUCUUAGACAUAUGCACGCAAUAUAGGCAACAAUCUGACUGAUGAAAUUAAUCUUCUUAAUGUUUUGAACUCUAAACAUAUAGACUAUUGCCCUAAGUGAAUUAAACUCAAAGCCAGGAAUUUAUUGAUUGAAUACAAGUGGAAUGAAAGUAUUAAUGAAGUCUUCUAGCAUUUGCAGGUUGCUUGCUUUAAGCUAUCAACUAUCUCUGCCCACAUAAGCUAAAGAUGACCCAAAUAAGAAUGAAGUCUUCUAGCAUUUACUAGGUUCCAAAAACUGUAGUCCUAAUAUUUCAUUGUUCUUUUCAGGAUGAUACAUAUAUAUUUGAUUCCCAUGAUUUAUAUUGGUAGACGUUGAUGAUUUUUUCCCCUAUGUUUAAAGGAGCGAUUUACCCUUCCAGCUAAAUUCUAAUAGAGUACUAAAUGAAACCUUCUUAUCCAUUUUCCAAAUGUAGAGUUGUUCUUUUGCAUGCAUCUUAUCCAUUUUCCAGAGAAGCAUCAUAUCUUGCUUCUGUGUACCCCCAGGUCUGUUCUUUCACGAAUCAAUUUGUCAUAAACUUUAUGUGCUCAAUGAUUAUUGGUGUUGUUAAUUUCUGUUUUUGCAGCAGUACUAGUACUCAAUUACUGAAGAUGAUGAGUCUCCUAAGUCAUAUGUAAUGCAUCAAAGUUAGUUUUUGUUGUUCUGUGUACUAUGGUUAAUUUUUUGUACUCCAUGUUGGAUUAUCCAAAGACUAGUAUUUGUUUUUAAGCACAUUUGUGUUGACUUUUCUUGUAUGCUACAACUUGGUUAUGUAUCAGUUUGAACCUUUAAAUGAAAUAUUUGCUUUUAUGAUUGUCAUAA